UACAGAGGUCCCAAGCGUUGUUCGGAUUCACUGGGCGUAAAGGGUGCGGAGGUGGUUGGGCAAGUCUGAUGUGAAAUCUCCGGGCUUAACCCGGAAAUGGCAUUGGAAACUGCCUGGCUAGAGUGUUGGAGGGGGGACUGGAAUUCUCGGUGUAGCAGUGAAAUGCGUAGAUAUCGAGAGGAACACCAGUGGCGAAGGCGAGUCCCUGGACAACGACUGACACUGAGGCACGAAAGCUAGGGGAGCAAACAGG
rnacentral:rRNA from 1 species